rnacentral:piRNA from 1 species
UCUGAAGGCCAUCCCUUUCGAGCAGCUA